UACGUAGGCAGCGAGCGUUUGUUCGGAAUUACUGGGCGUAAAGCGUGCGUAGGUGGUUUGUUAAGUCUGUUGUGAAAGCCCCGGGCUCAACCUGGGAAUGGCAAUGGAUACUGGCAAGCUAGGGUGCGGAAGAGGGAAGCGGAAUUUCCGGUGUAGCGGUGAAAUGCGUAGAUAUCGGAAGGAACACCAGUGGCGAAAGCGGCUUCCUGGUCCAGCACCGACGUCAGGCACGAAAGCGUGGGGAGCAAACAGG
rnacentral:rRNA from 1 species